rnacentral:rRNA from 1 species
AUUGAACGCUGGCGGCAUGCCUUACACAUGCAAGUCGAACGGCAGCACGGGAGCAAUCCUGGUGGCGAGUGGCGAACGGGUGAGUAAUAUAUCGGAACGUGCCCAGUCGUGGGGGAUAACUACUCGAAAGAGUAGCUAAUACCGCAUGAGAUCUACGGAUGAAAGCAGGGGGACCUUCGGGCCUUGUGCUACUAGAGCGGCUGAUGGCAGAUUAGGUAGUUGGUGGGGUAAAGGCUUACCAAGCCUGCGAUCUGUAGCUGGUCUGAGAGGACGACCAGCCACACUGGGACUGAGACACGGCCCAGACUCCUACGGGAGGCAGCAGUGGGGAAUUUUGGACAAUGGGCGAAAGCCUGAUCCAGCAAUGCCGCGUGCAGGAUGAAGGCCCUCGGGUUGUAAACUGCUUUUGUACAGGAAGAAACACUCCCUCGUGAGGGAGCUUGACGGUACUGUAAGAAUAAGGAUCGGCUAACUCCGUGCCAG